rnacentral:rRNA from 1 species
GCACCGAAUACUGUUUGUCUAGAAUGUGGUAGGAAGUUUUGGAAUUAAAUAUGGAGCGGUGGAAUGUGUAGAUAUAUUUAAGAACACCAGAGGCGAAGGCGAAAACUUAGGCCAUCAUUGACGCUUAGGCUUGAAAGUGUGGGUAGCAAAUGGGAUUAGAUACCCCAGUAGUCCACACCGUAAACGAUGGGUAUUGGAUGUCGGAUCUUGAGAUUCGGUGUUGUAGCUUACGUGUUAAAUACCCCGCCUGGGUAGUAUAUAUGCAAAUAUGAAACUCAAAGGAAUUGACGGGGACCUGAACAAGUGGUGGAACAUGUUGCUUAAUUCGAUAAUACACGAAAAACCUUACCAGGGUUUGACAUCCCUCGCGAAACUAUGGAAACAUAGCGGAGGUUAUCGAGGUGACAGGUGGUGCAUGGUUGUCGUCAGCUCGUGUCAUGAGAUGUUUGGUUAAGUCCCGCAACGAGCGCAACCCUACUCCUUAGUUGUUUGUCUAGGGAGACUGAACAGUAAUGUAUAGGAAGG